GCCAUUUCUCUCCAGUUAGUCUCAAAAGUUCAUAAGUUGUGUUUAGUUCAUUGAGGAGGGUUGUUAUUAAAAUUGGAGGCGAGAAGUUGGGUGUUUUGAUUAAGAGAAGGCAAGAAUAUUAGGUUUAGAAACAAUAUGAGCAAAGAGCACUUCCAAAAGGCUACAGAGCACGUCUUUUAGAAUUUGGUUCUGAAAUUUUGAGGUAAAAAAGUUAAGACGUUCUCCAGCAACUUUGUAGAACGAAAUAUUUUAUUUGAGUUCUGAAUUUUAAGAUCUUAAGCUAUAAAGUGAACAUAAGUUUCUGGCCAAGAAAUGGUGUUUUGGGCAAUCUUGGUGAUUUUCCAAGUGUGAAGGGUUGGUAGGCGAGAUGGGCAUGAAUUUUGGGUUAAAAGAGGUUAGUGUGUGCAUUGGACUUGUAUUGGAUGCACAUCCCGCGCGCAAGGCACGCUUCCCAAGCAAGUGCACGGUAAACACGAGCACGCAAAGAGCCACGCGAGAUGCAUGAGGCACGCGCGGUAUGCCCCUCUGCAAGGUUAGUAAGCGGAAAGACAUGCCCAGGCCCUGCGCACUUGCUAGCCUUGUCGCUUACCCCUGUGCACCAAUCAUGUCAAAUAGGUCAAGAUAAGAUUGGCUCUAGCAAAGGUUGGGCAGGAGGUGAUUAGACAUCCUCAUCCCCAAAGACUAGUCAUCAAUGAUCGAAGCGGGAACACCCAGAAAGACAUCGUCUACCAAAGUGUCAACCUCCAGUGCAUUGAAUGACGUACCUUCACCACUGUCAUAGCAUUGUUAGGAGCCAACUGCCCUACUCAAUUAACA